rnacentral:rRNA from 1 species
AUUGAACGCUGGCGGCAUGCCUAACACAUGCAAGUCGAACGAGUGGCGGACGGGUGAGUAAUGUAUGGGCAACUGCCUGAUCGAGGGGGCUAACUACUGGAAACGGUAGCUAAUACCGCAUACCAUCGGAUGUGCCCAGAGGGGAUUAGCUAGUGGGUGGGGUAACGGCUCACCUAGGCGACGAUCCCUAGCUGGUCUGAGAGGAUGACCAGCCACACUGGAACUGAGACACGGUCCAGACUCCUACGGGAGGCAGCAGUGGGGAAUGUUGCACAAUGGGCGAAAGCCUGAUGCAGCCACGCCGCGUGUAUGAAGAAGGCCUUCGGGUUGUAAAGUACUUUCAGCGGGGAGGCGUUACCCGCAGAAGAAGCACCGGCUAACUCCGUGCCAGCAGCCGCGGUAAUUC